AGCGCCUCACGAGAAACCUCCAUUCACAAUUGGAGACUUAAAGAAAGCCAUUCCACCUCAUUGCUUCCAAAAGUCUCUCAUUACAUCUUUCCGGUACCUUAUUCAGGAUCUUCUCAUGGCCUACUCCCUCUAUUAUGUGGCCACCAACUAUAUCGACCUCCUUCCUCGUCCCCUCAACUAUUUGGGUUGGGCUGCUUACAUUGCUGUUCAAGGCUGUGUCCUUACUGGGGCUUGGGUCGUUGGCCACGAAUGUGAUCACCAUGCAUUUAGUGAAUAUCAAUGGGUUGAUGACCUUGUUGGCCUUGUUGUCCACUCUUCACUCAUGGUCCCAUAUUUCUCUUGGAAAAUAAGUCACCGUCGUCACCAUGCCAACACGCAGUCCCUUGACAACGACGAGGUAUAUGUCCCAAGAUUUAAGUCUAAUAUCCGAAACUAUUACAAGAUCCUCAACAAUCCACCUGGUCGAGUCUUUGUGUGGGUUACUACACUUCUUAUAGGUUUUCCUUUAUACUUGAUGUUCAAUGUAUCCGGACACAAGUACGAGAGGUGGACCUCCCACUACGAUCCCCAUAGCCCACUUUACUCUGACCGUGAACGUAAAGAGAUCAUUAUUUCUGAUGUUGCUAUUCUUGCAGUAAUCUAUGGAUUAUA
rnacentral:lncRNA from 1 species